rnacentral:rRNA from 1 species
GCUAGCAGUCAUAUCAUCCUGCAACUCACAACUGGCAGCUGACUGAAGCUCAGCUGGUGUGAGCCUGGUUAGUACCUGGAUGGGAGUCCUCCUGGAAAAAACUAUGGUUGAUGCUGGAA